rnacentral:rRNA from 1 species
UACAGAGGGUGCGAGCGUUAAUCGGAAUUACUGGGCGUAAAGCGUGCGUAGACGGCUAUCUAAGUCGGGUGUGAAAGCCCCGGGCUCAACCUGGGAAUUGCAUUCGAGACUGAAUAGCUAGGGUGCGGUAGAGGGAAGCGGAAUUUCCGGUGUAGCGGUGAAAUGCGUAGAUAUCUGGAGGAACACCGGUGGCGAAGGCGGCAUCCUGGACCGGUAUUGACACUGAGGCGCGAAAGCCAGGGGAGCAAACGGG